CCAAAGUGCUGGGAUUCGGCGUGAGCCACUGCGCCCACCUGCCACUGUCACACUUCCUAAGGGAAACAUGGUCACCCACCAUGAAUUACGCUGCUGGCUGUUUCUCACGGAUGCUGUAGGAGGCAGAACAGUGCGCCCAGCCACGACGGUCACGCCCUAACCCCCGGCCCCUGGGAUGAUGGGAGGCUACUCCACCAGGAGGAAUCAAGGUUGCGAAGCAGCUGACCCUAAAAAUGGAGGAGCAUUUUUCAGUACGGAACCUAGUGGAGUCACAUGCUCCUCAAAAGCAGACCAGGAGUUGCCGAGAGGCACAGUGGACUCCACCUACUGUUGCUGGCUUUGAAGAUGGUGGGAAAGGCCACAGCCAAGGGAUGUGGAUGCCUCUGGAAAGGAUGUGGAUACAGAACCUCUCCCAGAGCCUGUGCCUACACCUUCCUUUUAGUCUCAUGAGACCCAUGUCUAACUACCGACCUCCAAACCGGUCUGGCUGUGUCGUCCAGGCUGGAGU